AGAGAUUGUGACUGGAAAUUGGGGGAGGUCGGACUGGAAGUGGGGGGGGCAGACUGUAAGUGGGGGUGAAGACCAGAAGUUGGUGGGGUUAGACCGGAAGUUGGUGGUUCUGAGAGGAAAUUGGAAGGGGUCGGGGUGGAAGUGGGAGGUUCCGACUGGAAAUGGAAAAUUUGGAGCCAAAGUUGGACCGGAACUUGAGAGUUCUGAUUGGAAAUUGGGGGGGUCAGACUGGAAGUGGGGGGGUUCUGACUGGAAAUUGGGGGGCGUUGGACAGGAAGUAGAGGGCUCAGACCGGAACUUGUGGUUUCUGCCUGGAAACCGAGGGUUCAAACUGAAAGUGGGGGGGUUGGACCGGAAGUGGGAGGGUUGGACCGGAAGUGGGGCGCCUGGAUUGGAAUCUGGCAGUUCCGGCUGGAAGUUGGAGGUUCAGGCUGGAAAUCAGGGGGUUCUGACCGGAAAUCGGGGGAUUCUGACUGGGAACUGGGAGCUUCUGACCGGAAGUGGGGGGUUCUGACUGGAAGUGGGGGGGCCCUGAUUGGAAACUGGGGGUUCAGACUGGAAACUGGGGGCGGGGGGGGGCUGGACCGGACGUGAAGGAGUGUUCCGACCGGAAGUUGGUGUUCUGAACCGGAAGUGAGGGCUGGACCGGAAGUUUGGGUUCUGAACAGGAAGUGAGGGCUGGACCGGAAGUGAAUGCGUAUUCUGACCGGAAGUGGGGUCUGAACCGGAAGUUGGUCCCCGCUGACCGGAAGGAGCCUCCAUCACCGCACAGCGCCAUGGAGAGCGGAGAGCAGAGUGAGGGCACGGCCCUGCGCCACGUCCCUGUGUCCCCAUGUCUCCAUGUCCCCACGUGUCCCCUCCCCACAGGACCCUCCCGUGGCGGUGACACGGAGUUGCCCACCCCACAGCCACCGGGCGCCGCCAGCUGUGCCUGGGGCAGCAGCGCCACCUGGAGGGGGCGGGGGAGAGCAGGGCAAAAAUCAGGGAGCUGCGGCGGGGACACAGGGAGGACUUCGUGCAGCAGCUGGAGACGCUGAUGGACGAGCACAAGCGGCUGCAGCGCCAGCACUCCCCGGUGGCGCUGGUGGCCGCGCUGUCCCAGCUGCAGCUGACACGGGAUGAGCUGCUGAACCAGGGUGAGCACACAUGGCCCCAAAUGUCCCCAGACAGCCAUGCAAUGUCCCCAAAUGUCCCCAAAUAUUCAUAUAAUGUCUCCAAAUGUUCCCAGAUAUCCAUGCAAUGUCCCCAAAUGUCCCCAAAUGUCCCCAGAUAUCCAUGCAAUAUCCCCCCAAUGUCCCCAAAUA
rnacentral:lncRNA from 1 species